rnacentral:rRNA from 1 species
ACUGAAGAGUUUGAUCAUGGCUCAGAUUGAACGCUGGCGGCAGGCGUAACACAUGCAAGUCGAGCGAGAAAGCACUUCGGUGUGAGUAGAGCGGCGGACGGGUGAGUAACGCCGCGUAGGAAUGUGCCCAGUAGUGGGGUACAACAUGUGGAAACGCAUGCUAAUACCGCAUACGCCCUAAGGGGGAAAGCAGGGGAUCUUCGGACCUUGCGCUAUUGGAGAAGCCUGCGUCGGAUUAGCUAGUUGGUGGGGUAAAGGCCCACCAAGGCGACGAUCCGUAGCUGGUCUGAGAGGAUGAUCAGCCACACUGGGACUGAGACACGGCCCAGACUCCUACGGGAGGCAGCAGUGGGGAAUAUUGGACAAUGGGCGCAAGCCUGAUCCAGCCAUGCCGCGUGUGUGAAGAAGGCCUUAGGGUUGUAAAGCACUUUAAGCAGGGAGGAAAGGUUGCUGGUUAAUAACCAGUAGCUGUGACGUUACUCGCAGAAUAAGCACCGGCUAAUUCAGUGCCAGCAGCCGCGGUAAUACUGAAGGUGCAAGCGUUAAUCGGAAUUACUGGGCGUAAAGCGCACGUAGGCGGUUCGUUAAGUUGGAUGUGAAAGCCCAGGGCUCAACCUUGGAACUGCAUCCGAUACUGGCGAGCUAGAAUAUAGGAGAGGGAGGUAGAAUUUCAGGUGUAGCGGUGAAAUGCGUAGAGAUCUGAAGGAAUACCAGUGGCGAAGGCGGCCUCCUGGCCUAAUAUUGACGCUGAGGUGUGAAAGCGUGGGGGACAAACAGGAUUAGAUACCCUGGUAGUCCACGCCGUAAACGAUGUCAACUAGCCGUUGGGAGUCUUAGUAUUCUUAGUGGCGAAGCUAACGCGAUAAGUUGACCGCCUGGGGAGUACGGUCGCAAGAUUAAAACUCAAAUGAUUUGACGGGGGCCCGCACAAACGGUGGGAGCAUUGGUUUAAUUCGAAGCAACGCGAAGAACCUUACCAGGUCUUGACAUUCAGAGAACUUACUAGAGAUAGUUUGGUGCCUUCGGGAACUCUGGGACAGGUGCUGCAUGGCUGUCGUCAGCUCGUGUCGUGAGAUGUUGGGUUAAGUCCCGUAACGAGCGCAACCCUUAUCCUUAUUUGCCAGCACGUAAUGGUGGGAACUCUAAGGAGACUGCCGGUGACAAACCGGAGGAAGGUGGGGACGACGUCAACUCAUCAUGGCCCUUACGACCUGGGCUACACACGUGCUACAAUGGCCGGUACAGAGGGCUGCAAUACCGCGAGGUGGAGCGAAUCUCAGAAAACCGAUCGUAGUCCGGAUUGGAGUCUGCAACUCGACUCCAUGAAGUCGGAAUCGCUAGUAAUCGCGAAUCAGAAUGUCGCGGUGAAUACGUUCCCGGGCCUUGUACACACCGCCCGUCACACCAUGGGAGUGGAUUGCACCAGAAGUAGGUAGCUUAACCCUCGGGAGAGCGCUUACCACGGUGUGGUUCAUGACUGGGGUGAAGUCGUAACAAGGUAACCAAGGG